UGUUAUACCAUAUAUACUAUUUUUAUGUACAAGUAACAUAAUCCAAUUAGAUGCCACUGGAUCCGAAUCAUGAUUUCAUCAACGACCAUAGGAAUGGAAACCAAUUGAGAUUUGUUAGUAGCGAUGAUGAGCAAGAGUAGAUUGGGGGAAACCGAUAUCCAAGAUGAUCUUGAAAGCUUGGGAUGAAUGGCCAUAAAUCCAGCCUUUCUUUACUUUGCCCGUGGCAUGGACUCGAGGUGAAUUCCUGAGUUGAAAGUUUGCCGAUCUCACUUGAGUCUGGUGGGAGUUUGACUUGUUAUAAAAUUUAUGCCCGCAACCUUCGGCCCUCUAUAUCGGAGUAAUUUCGUCCAAGAAACGUUAUCAUCAAGUAAAUCAGCAUUGCAUGUCUCAUUCCCCCGCCGAAUGCAUGCACCAAGUGAUCGUUCAUUUAUUGCCGGCGCGCUAUCUUGCUUAAGUCCUUGUCGAAUGCACACAUCUCUUGGCCGAUGUUGGAAUCAAAAAGUAUUUUUACGAGUUUCAUAUUCAUAUAUUUGGUAAAAACAUGUAUUGAUGGUUCAGUCGAACAUUAGUGUUGUCGAAUUCUUGUGGAGUAUUAAAAAUCCUAGUAAUAAUCGAUA